rnacentral:lncRNA from 1 species
GCACUCAUCUGAAAUGAGAUUAAGGGAGCAAAUAGCCCCCCAGAAGGACAGAAAUUCAUUGAUGAUCAAUAAAUUGAUGGUCAUGUACCAUGGGCAAAGGGACAGCUGCAGGUCACUUGUAAAUCUUGCUAAGCUGCAGAAAAAAAUUGAACGGAUGAAAUGGAUACUGUACCUUUGCAGAUACUGAGCCCCUCCAACUGUUUGCUGUUUGUGCACGUAUAUGCAAUUCCGAACUUUCCACAUCCACACAGGUUUUUUUUUCUUAAUCAGAGUUGGAAUCGUAGAA